rfam:Candidatus Muproteobacteria bacterium RIFCSPHIGHO2_01_FTLL_65_16 rifcsphigho2_01_scaffold_10445, whole genome shotgun sequence.
UGAGUCGGCCAGACAGCCGCCCCGCAUCUAUCUUUCUGAGUCGUUGUCUCGGACCGUGGCGCCGUCUCCUCGAAGAGACAUCGCUCUGGUUUCACGGACGGCUCAGGGAGAUAGGUGCGGGGAGGAAAGUCCGGGCUCCAUUGGGCAGGGUGCCAGGUAACGCCUGGAGGACGCGAGUCCAUGGAAAGUGCCACAGAAAAUAUACCGCCUAAGUCCGCAAGGACCGGUAAGGGUGAAAUGGUGCGGUAAGAGCGCACCGCGCGGUUGGCAACAGCCGCGGCACGGCAAACCCCACCUGGAGCAAGGCCGAAUAGGGGAACAUUGGCGUGUGCCCGCGUCGUUCCCGGGUAGGCUGCUUGAGGCGCGCGGCGACGCGCGUCCCAGAUGAAUGGCUGUCCACGACAGAACCCGGCUUACCGGCCGACUCGUUUU